CAAGUUGUCAACAGGUUUGGAACAACUUGUUGACAACUUGUAACAACCUUGUCGAAAUUAUCAGACUUGUUGCAAGGUUGUUCUGACAAGUCCGUGACAGCUUGAUAUAACAAGAUUGUUACAACCUUGUGUUGACAACCUUGUAACAUCCUUGUUUUAUCAUGGCUGUAACAAACUUGUUAGCACAAUCUUGUAACAAGGCUGACAAUGCAUCAAGCUUGUUAUAAGUUGUUAACAGCUUGUUUCAAACUUGUUACAACAAACUG